CCUACGGGGGGCUGCAGUCGAGAAUUUUUCACAAUGGGGGAAACCCUGAUGGAGCGACGCCGCGUGGGGGAUGAAGGGCUUCGGCUCGUAAACCCCUGUCAUUCGCGAAUAAUUGCUGUGGCCUAACACGUCACGGUUUGAUAGUAGCGGAAGAGGAAGGGACGGCUAACUCUGUGCCAGCAGCCGCGGUAAUACAGAGGUCCCAAGCGUUGUUCGGAUUUACUGGGCGUAAAGGGUGCGUAGGCGGCAGGGAAAGUUCGGGGUGAAAUCUCCAGGCUCAACUUGGAAACUGCCCUGAAUACUUCCUUGCUCGAGGGCCGAAGAGGAGAUUGGAAUUCUCGGUGUAGCAGUGAAAUGCGUAGAUAUCGAGAGGAACAUCAGUGGCGAAAGCGAAUCUCUGGUCGGCAUCUGACGCUGAGGCACGAAAGCCAGGGGAGCAAACGGGAUUAGAUACCCCGGUAGUC
rnacentral:rRNA from 1 species